GAUGAACGCUGGCGGCGUGCCUAAUACAUGCAAGUCGAGCGAACGGACGAGAAGCUUGCUUUUCUGAUGUUAGCGGCGGACGGGUGAGUAACACGUGGAUAACCUACCUAUAAGACUGGGAUAACUUCGGGAAACCGGAGCUAAUACCGGAUAAUAUUUUGAACCGCAUGGUUCAAAAGUGAAAGACGGUCUUGCUGUCACUUAUAGAUGGAUCCGCGCUGCAUUAGCUAGUUGGUAAGGUAACGGCUUACCAAGGCAACGAUGCAUAGCCGACCUGAGAGGGUGAUCGGCCACACUGGAACUGAGACACGGUCCAGACUCCUACGGGAGGCAGCAGUAGGGAAUCUUCCGCAAUGGGCGAAAGCCUGACGGAGCAACGCCGCGUGAGUGAUGAAGGUCUUCGGAUCGUAAAACUCUGUUAUUAGGGAAGAACAUAUGUGUAAGUAACUGUGCACAUCUUGACGGUACCUAAUCAGAAAGCCACGGCUAACUACGUGCCAGCAGCCGCGGUAAUACGUAGGUGGCAAGCGUUAUCCGGAAUUAUUGGGCGUAAAGCGCGCGUAGGCGGUUUUUUAAGUCUGAUGUGAAAGCCCACGGCUCAACCGUGGAGGGUCAUUGGAAACUGGAAAACUUGAGUGCAGAAGAGGAAAGUGGAAUUCCAUGUGUAGCGGUGAAAUGCGCAGAGAUGUGGAGGAACACCAGUGGCGAAGGCGACUUUCUGGUCUGUAACUGACGCUGAUGUGCGAAAGCGUGGGGAUCAAACAGGAUUAGAUACCCUGGUAGUCCACGCCGUAAACGAUGAGUGCUAAGUGUUAGGGGGUUUCCGCCCCUUAGUGCUGCAGCUAACGCAUUAAGCACUCCGCCUGGGGAGUACGACCGCAAGGUUGAAACUCAAAGGAAUUGACGGGGGCCCGCACAAGCGGUGGAGCAUGUGGUUUAAUUCGAAGCAACGCGAAGAGCCUUACCAAAUCUUGACAUCCUUUGACAACUCUAGAGAUAGAGCCUUCCCCUUCGGGGGACAAAGUGACAGGUGGUGCAUGGUUGUCGUCAGCUCGUGUCGUGAGAUGUUGGGUUAAGUCCCGCAACGAGCGCAACCCUUAAGCUUAGUUGCCAUCAUUAAGUUGGGCACUCUAAGUUGACUGCCGGUGACAAACCGGAGGAAGGUGGGGAUGGCGUCAAAUCAUCAUGCCCCUUAUGAUUUGGGCUACACACGUGCUACAAUGGACAAUACAAAGGGCAGCGAAACCGCGAGGUCAAGCAAAUCCCAUAAAGUUGUUCUCAGUUCGGAUUGUAGUCUGCAACUCGACUACAUGAAGCUGGAAUCGCUAGUAAUCGUAGAUCAGCAUGCUACGGUGAAUACGUUCCCGGGUCU
rnacentral:rRNA from 1 species